rnacentral:rRNA from 1 species
ACUCCUACGGGAGGCAGCAGUGGGGAAUAUUGGACAAUGGGGGCAACCCUGAUCCACGCGAUGCCGCGUGUGUGAAGAAGGCCUGAGGGUUGUAAAGCACUUUUAGUGGGGNGGAAAGUUAACAGGUUAAGNGCGUAAGUUAAGUUGACGUUUACCCACCAUAACAGCACCGGCUAACUCCGUGCCAGCAGCCGCGGUAAUACGGGGGGUGCAAGCGUUAAUCGGAGUUAUUGGGCGUAAAGGGUGCGUAGGUUGUUAUUUAAGUCAUGU